ACAUAUUAAGUGCAUUUGAAUUCAAGAAGGUCUGGGACCACCAACCAAUAAUAAACAGAAUCCGUGAAGGCUUUGGUGACCGAAUCCUAGCAGAUGUAAGCCUCCAGCUCUUAAUGCCGUGUGGCAAUAAACUGGUGCUCCCAAAGCUUCAGGGGGGCCAUGAGCUUACAGGUAUGCUCAUACACAAGGUUUACAGAACCAAGUCACUCUACGUAAGACCAUCAAGGGAACUGCUGUAGAACAGAAAAGGUCCCAGUGGAAGAAAUACUACAGGAAUUAUCAAGCAAAAUUUCCACAAAAGAGACAUGCAGGUUUAAUAUCAAUCGUUCUUCUGUCUGGGAUGGAGCAGUGCGAGGUUUCCAAAGGGCAUGACCCCAACUUGAGAACGUGAAAUUCUCUGAUGAUAUGGGGAAAAAUGAAGAAAGUGUUGAUUUAGGAGGGAAUUUUGAA